rnacentral:rRNA from 1 species
UGGGGAAUAUUGCACAAUGGGCGAAAGCCUGAUGCAGCAACGCCGCGUGAGUGAUGAAGGCCUUCGGGUUGUAAAGCUCUGUCUUCUGGGACGAUAAUGACGGUACCAGAGGAGGAAGCCACGGCUAACUACGUGCCAGCAGCCGCGGUAAUACGUAGGUGGCAAGCGUUGUCCGGAUUUACUGGGCGUAAAGGAUGCGUAGGCGGAUACUUAAGUCAGAUGUGAAAAUCCCGGGCUUAACUUGGGAACUGCAUUUGAAACUGGGUAUCUAGAGUGCGGGAGAGGAAAGUGGAAUUCCUAGUGUAGCGGUGAAAUGCGUAGAUAUCAGGAGGAACACCUGCGGUGUAGACAGCUUUCUGGACCAAAACUGACGCUGAGGCACGAAAGCGUGGGUAGCAAACA